UAAGAACUGAAAUGCAUAAACUGUUUUAACUGUAAGCACAAACUCGGUAGUAAUAAAAGUGAACCAUCCGCUAUUUUUUUAAGUGAGAAAUAUGAGGGGAGAUCCAAAAGAAAGUGACACAUUUGAAAAUUUAGGGAGAAAAAGAGUUUUGUGGAGAAAGACGUAUUCAUCUAAUAUGGGAUUUGAAAUUCUGAAGUGUAUUUGAUAAGUAAUUUUUUUUACCCUUUGAACACACAGUAUGUCAGAUGAUAUUGCUAAUUCACAAUAUAUAUUUUUACUUCGGUGACAUCAUCUAUUUUUAUUUUAUUCUGUUGCUAGUAAAAAACCUGA
rnacentral:lncRNA from 1 species